rnacentral:rRNA from 1 species
UGGCUAACUCCUACGGGAGGCAGCAGUAAGGAAUAUUGGACAAUGGACGCAAGUCUGAUCCAGCCAUGCCGCGUGAAGGAUUAAGGUCCUCUGGAUUGUAAACUUCUUUUAUAAGGGACGAAAAAAGGUCUUUCUAGAUCGUCUGACGGUACCUUAUGAAUAAGCACCGGCUAACUCCGUGCCAGCAGCCGCGGUAAUACGGAGGGUGCAAGCGUUAUCCGGAUUCACUGGGUUUAAAGGGUGCGUAGGCGGGCAGGUAAGUCAGUGGUGAAAUCCUAGAGCUCAACUCUAGAACUGCCAUUGAUACUAUCUGUCUUGAAUAUUGUGGAGGUAAGCGGAAUAUGUCAUGUAGCGGUGAAAUGCUUAGAUAUGACAUAGAACACCUAUUGCGAAGGCAGCUUACUACGCAUAUAUUGACGCUGAGGCACGAAAGCGUGGGGAUCAAACAGGAUUAGAUACCCGUGUAGUCCAGCUGG